rnacentral:rRNA from 1 species
CCUACGGGUGGCAGCAGUGAGGAAUAUUGGUCAAUGGACGAGAGUCUGAACCAGCCAAGUAGCGUGAAGGAGGAAUGCCCUGUGGAUUGUAAACUUCUUUUGUAAGGGAAUAAAACGAGGCACGUGUGCCUGUUUGCGUGUACUUUAUGAAUAAGGAUCGGCUAACUCCGUGCCAGCAGCCGCGGUAAUACGGAGGAUCCGAGCGUUAUCCGGAUUUAUUGGGUUUAAAGGGAGCGUAGGUGGGUUGUUAAGUCAGUUGUGAAAGUUUGCGGCUCAACCGUAAAAUGGCAAUUGAUACUGGCAGUCUUGAGUACAGUUGAGGUAGGCGGAAUUCGUGGUGUAGCGGUGAAAUGCUUAGAUAUCACGAAGAACCCCGAUUGCGAAGGCAGCUUACUAAACUGUGACUGACAUUGAUGCUCGAAAGUGUGGGUAUCAAACAGGAUUAGAUACCCCAGUAGUC